rnacentral:rRNA from 1 species
CGUAUGGAGCAAGCGUUAUCCGGAUUUACUGGGUGUAAAGGGAGCGUAGACGGCAGGGCAAGUCUGAUGUGAAAACCCGGGGCUCAACCCCGGGACUGCAUUGGAAACUGUCCGGCUGGAGUGCAGGAGAGGUAAGUGGAAUUCCUAGUGUAGCGGUGAAAUGCGUAGAUAUUAGGAGGAACACCAGUGGCGAAGGCGGCUUACUGGACUGUAACUGACGUUGAGGCUCGAAAAGCGUGGGGAGCAAACAGGAUU